UCAGUGAAAUCGAGUAGGGCGGGACACGUGAUAUCCUGUCUGAAUAUGGGGGGACCAUCCUCCAAGGCUAAAUACUACUGACUGACCGAUAGUGAACCAGUACCGUGAGGGAAAGGCGAAAAGAACCCCUGUGAGGGGAGUGAAAUAGAACCUGAAACCGUGUACGUACAAGCAGUAGGAGCACCUUCGUGGUGUGACUGCGUACCUUUUGUAUAAUGGGUCAGCGACUUAUAUUCAGUGGCAAGGUUAACCAUCUAGGGGAGCCGUAGGGAAACCGAGUCUUAACUGGGCGUUCAGUCUCUGGAUAUAGACCCGAAACCAGGUGAUCUAGCCAUGGGCAGGUUGAAGGUUGAGUAACAUCAACUGGAGGACCGAACCGACUAAUGUUGAAAAAUUAGCGGAUGACUUGUGGCUAGGGGUGAAAGGCCAAUCAAACCUGGAGAUAGCUGGUUCUCCCCGAAAGCUAUUUAGGUAGCGCCUCGGACGAAUACUACUGGGGGUAGAGCACUGUUAAGGCUAGGGGGUCAUCCCGACUUACCAACCCUUUGCAAACUCCGAAUACCAGUAAGUACUAUCCGGGAGACACACGGCGGGUGCUAACGUCCGUCGUGGAGAGGGAAACAACCCAGACCGCCAGCUAAGGUCCCAAAUUACUACUAAGUGGGAAACGAUGUGGGAAGGCUCAGACAGCCAGGAUGUUGGCUUAGAAGCAGCCAUCAUUUAAAGAAAGCGUAAUAGCUCACUGGUCGAGUCGGCCUGCGCGGAAGAUGUAACGGGGCUAAGUAGUAAACCGAAGCUGCGGCAAUAUACUUUUGUAUAUUGGGUAGGGGAGCGUUCUGUAAGCGGUUGAAGGUGUGUGGUAACGCAUGCUGGACGUAUCAGAAGUGCGAAUGCUGACAUGAGUAACGAUAAAGGGGGUGAAAAACCUCCUCGCCGGAAGACCAAGGGUUCCUGUCCAACGUUAAUCGGGGCAGGGUAAGUCGACCCCUAAGGCGAGGCCGAAAGGCGUAGUCGAUGGGAAACGGGUUAAUAUUCCCGUACUUCUUACAAUUGCGAUGGGGGGACGGAGAAGGCUAGGUGGGCCUGGCGACGGUUGUCCAGGUUCAAGUGCGUAGGCUUAAGAGUUAGGUAAAUCCGGCUCUUUCUAAGGCUGAGACACGACGUCGAGCUACUACGGU
rnacentral:rRNA from 1 species